UACAGAGGUCCCGAGCGUUGUUCGGAUUCACUGGGCGUAAAGCGCGCGCAGGCGGCACUUCAAGUAAGGUGUGAAAUCUCCCUGCUCAACGGGGAGGGUGCACUUUAGACUGGGGAGCUAGAGGACGGUAGAGGGGGGUGGAAUUGCUGGUGUAGCGGUGAAAUGCGUAGAGAUCAGCAGGAACACCCGUGGCGAAGGCGGCCCCCUGGGCCGUACCUGACGCUGAGGCGCGAAGGCUAGGGGAGCGAACGGG
rnacentral:rRNA from 1 species